ACAAUUUUCAGCGACGGAUACCUCGGCUCAAGCAACGAUGAAGGGCGCAGCGAAGUGUGUUAAGCUUUGUGAAUUGCAGAAUUCCGUGAGUCAAUGGGAUCCUGAAUGCAAAUUGCGCUUUCGGGAUAAGCCUGAAAGCUUACCUGCUUCAGUGUCUAU
rnacentral:rRNA from 1 species